CUGGGAGGAGUGUGGUUGGUGAUUGCGGGAGUGAUAGCUAAUGGGCAGGAGGCUUCUUUUGGAGGUGAUGAAAAUGUUCUAAAAAUGAUUAUGGUGAUUGUUGUGCAACUUUGUAAAUACACCAACAACCAUUGAAUGGUACACCAAAAGGGGUGAACUGUGUAGUAUGUGAACUAAAUCUCAGUAAACUUGUUACAAAGAAAAAAAGAAAAACUUUGCACCAGAUAAUCUAGGUUUAACUCUCAUCUUUGCUCCCGACUGGCUGUGUAACUUCAGAAAUGUUACUUAACUUCCAUAUGUCCUAAUCUCCCCAUAAAUAAAUGGAGAUAAUAAUGGUUCCUAUCUCACAGGGUUGUUGUAAGGAUUAAGUCAAAAUAUGUAGAGCACAACAGCGUCUGUUAAAGAAAAAGUGUUAUUUAUUAUACUCUAAGUAUGGAUUCCCAAGUCAGUGCUCCUUCCUCAUGACCUUACGCUCUGGUUCUAUUUUCAUGACUAUUUUAAAGAGCAGGUGGUGGGCUUGUUCUACUGCGGGGUCUUUUUUUUUUUUUCUUAUAAUAUUUUUUUUUAUUAUAUUAUGUUAGUCACAAUACAGUACACCCCUGGUUUUUGAUGUAAAGUGCGGGGUCUUUUAGAGAACUGUGGGAGAGAGGAAAGGAAACAGUUCAGAAAGCAAAGGCAUCUUUAGUCGGGCAGCUUUAGCCUAGUUUGACCCUCUAGGCUUCCCAUUCCUUUCGCUUCAGCGCGCACGCGCGGGAGUCCGUGCCCUUUCAUCUUCCUGCUUCUGUUACUUUGACAAUGGCGGCUCGCGGCGUGGGGAUGUUGGCCCGUUUAGCCCUAUGUGCUCAGAGAAGUCAAGUCCUCCGUCCUACCCACAGGCUUCUCAGUUGCCCAGGAACUGUGGCCGCAGACGCUAAGAGAGAAGAGCAGUCCUCCAGGAGCGUAGAGACAGGCUCUGAAGACAGGACUCCCAAAAAGAAAUUCUCUGAAGUGCAGAAAGAAAGACGAGAACAGGCACAGCGAACUGUUUUAAUACAUUGCCCAAAUAAAAUCAGUGAAAAAAAGUUUCUGAAAUACUUAUCCCAACAUGGACCUAUUAGUCAUCAUUUCUUCUAUGAGAGCUUUGGUCUUUAUGCUGUUGUAGAGUUUUGUCAGAAGGAAAGUGUCACUUCACUACAGAAUAUAACUCGAACUCCAAGUAUGGAGACAGAGGCUGCAAUUCCAUUCAAGUCACGUUUCUUCAAUUUAAAGAUGAAGAAUCCAUCAAGCCAGACUUCAGAAAAGUCCAGUAUGCCAUGCAGUAAUCAUUCCCCUCCUUCAAGCAAGAAGCUUUUUGAAUUACUUUGUUAUGCAGAAAGUAUCGAUGAUCAGCUGAACACUCUCCUGAAGGAGUUCCAGUUAACGGAGGAGGACAUUAAGCUCCGAUAUCUCACCUGUUCUCUUAUUGAAGACCUAGCAGCUGCGUAUUUUCAGGACUGUACAGUGAGACCCUUUGGCUCCUCAGUGAACAGUUUUGGGAAAUUAGGAUGUGAUUUGGAUAUGUUUUUGGAUCUAGAUGAAAUUGGAAAAUUCAACACCAGCAAGACCUCAGGAAAUUUUCUGAUGGAAUUUCAAGUGAAAAAUGUUCCUUCAGAAAGAAUUGCAACGCAGAAGAUCCUGUCUGUGAUAGGAGAAUGCCUUGACCACUUUGGCCCCAGUUGUGUGGGUGUACAAAAAAUCUUAAAUGCUCGGUGUCCUCUUGUGAGGUUCUCGCACCAGGCCUCUGGAUUUCAGUGUGAUUUGACUACUAAUAAUAGGAUUGCCUUGAAAAGUUCUGAACUCCUUUAUAUAUAUGGUGCUCUUGACUCAAGAGUGAGAGCCUUGGUGUUCAGUAUUCGAUGUUGGGCUCGAGCACAUUCGUUAACGAGUAGUAUUCCUGGUUCUUGGAUUACAAAUUUCUCUCUUACAAUGAUGGUCAUCUUUUUUCUCCAGAGGCGAUCACCCCCUAUUCUUCCAACACUUGACUAUCUAAAAACCCUAGCAGAUGCAGAAGAUAAAUGUAUAAUAGAAGGCCACAACUGUACAUUUAUUCGUGACUUGAAUAGAAUUAAACCUUCAGGAAACACAGAAACACUAGAAUCACUAUUGAAAGAAUUUUUUGAAUAUUUUGGCAAUUUCGCUUUCAAUAAAAAUUCCAUUAAUAUUCGACAGGGAAGGGAACAAAACAAACCUGAGUGUUCUCCACUGCACAUUCAGAAUCCUUUUGAAACUUCUCUGAACAUCAGCAAAAAUGUAAAUCAAAGCCAGCUACAAAAAUUUGUAGAUCUGGCCAGAGAAAGUGCCUGGAUUUUAAGUCAGGAAGAUAAAGAUCGCCCUUCCCCAUCAAGUAAUCAGCCAUGGGGGCUGGCAAUGCUGCUGCAGCCUUCUGUGGUAAGUAGUGUGUCUCUUGCCAAGAAGAAAAGGAAGAAGCCUGCAAGUGAAAGAAUUAAAAAUUUGCUGGAAUCCAUAAAAAGUCACAGUCCUGAAAAUGACACAAACACCAAUGGGAAGAGAACGGUCAGUACUCAGGGAUAGCGGUGCCUCCUUUGCUUGAAGAACUGGUUUUCUCGGAGAAGGUGCUCUUGGAUUGCCUGGGAAACCUGGUGUGAAACUUUCAUAUAUACCCAUUUUCAUCUGAUGUCUCUUUUCUUGAUCUUCUCACUGGGCUUCUUUCUGGUCUGAAGUUCUGGGACAUUUUCAGUCUGAUAAGACUCAGAUCCAUCGGCACUUGAGAACGGCCGCCACAAGGAAUAGGUGACAGAGGAUUGGAAGGGACUUCAAAUCAACUAUACAAAGCAAGUGGUAAAAAUCCGUUUUAGAAUCAAACCAUCAUUGAUUUCUACAUUAGGCCCUGGAUGGAAAUCGUUUAAAAGGACUUCUGGGGAUCCCAGAGGAGAAGAGAGAAUCAGUCGAAGUAGGCUGCCGUCAUUUACUACGUACCUCUUCUUCCUUUUGCUCAGGGGCUGUAGUCAGCCUGCUGGUACCACAGUAGGGAAAAGCUACAUUUGCAUGUGUCGUUUAAGCCAACACAGGGAACAUCCGCAGCAAAGCCAGCAGGAAGAGCCACCAGGCAGUCACAGCUUGGCCGUGUAGCAGCUCUGCGCUUGCCAGAGUUUGGCAAUCAGUUGGACAUUUGUUUGAGUCGGGAUCCGGUUACUGUCCACAUACUGUGAUUGGUUGGUUUGGUUCUGAAGUCUCUUUAAUCUUUAGGUUUCUGUUUCAUCCCUCUAAUUCCUUACAAUUUAUUGAAGAUAAUGGGUUGUCUUAAGGAGUUUCCCACAUCAUGGCUUGUGUGGAUUAUGUCAGCACAUAUGAUGAUGUGCUGUGGAGUUGUUCAGCAUUAGCUUAAUGACCUAAAAAUUAUUUUUAUCACUUUUAGAAAACUUUCAACCAUACUUUAUUGUGUAUUUUCUAGCCCUUUCCCCUCCAUCUUCAUUCUGGAUAUUUCUUUCUGAAACUGUGUUACAGUUUACUAUUUUUUUUUUCUUAAGCUGUGUUGAGUUUUUUAAACCCAUUCACUGAAUUAUCAUCUUUAGUAGUCCCCCCCCCCCGCAGUUCUAGAAUAUCCACUUGGUACUUUGAAAUUUUUUUUUCUAAUUUUCUGACUAAAUUUUCAGUCAUGUCUGAUUUUCUUGUAUUAAACAGUCACUUUAAAGCCUGUGUAUGAUAAUUGGAUAUCUGCUGCCCUGUGGUUCUCUGUUUUUCAUGAUGUUGGAUUUCUCUCCUAGUACACCUAUUUUUUGUGUUGACAUUGUAUGUGAAAGAGCAGGGAUUAUUUCCGGGAGGUGGUGUCUUCCUUCAGAACUGAUUUGGUUUUGCUUUCAGAAGGCAGGUAAGGGUACUUAGGAUCUUGAAUCACCUUAAUCAAGAAAGGGCUUGAGAUUUUGAAGUUGGAUUCAGUUCCUGAUUCUGGGUACUCUUUACUCUCAGAGUGUGUCCCCAUCCAAAACCGGAAGCCUUUACCAGAGUCCUUUCUCCUUGAUAAGCCCUAAACUUUUUGUCCCCUUUCCUGUGAGUCUUUUGAAAGUUCUCCUCAGCCUGCCUCAUCCACAGAUGUCCCUAUGGGAGUAGUAGCCCUAGAUGUUGGGCUUACCUGUGUACGUUUACUUCUCCGCUGUCCUGUAAUUUUUCACUACCUUGUUGGCAUUUGGAUGCUUUCAAGUAACUGACCUCAGUUUUGCCCACCUUUACUAGUGUUCAGGGAGUUGGUGUUUAUUACCUAGAGUGCCAUUACAUUGAAUUCUUUGUGAUUCCUAUUUUUAUAUAUAUAUAUAUAUAAGAUAUAUAUAUAUAUAAAAAUAUAUAUAUAUAUUAACCUUAUAGAAAUGAUACAUACCAUUCAUUUCAUUUGCUUCCUUGUAAGGAGCUUCCACAUGCUGUCUCACUUACCAAUAUGUGUUGAGUUGGGCUUUGGGUAACAGUGUGAACACCUGUCUGCAGUGAAUGCCUAAUUCACCAGUAAGGAAAGAGGGCACUGCAAAUGUUUCAUGCUGUUUUUCAGAAAUUGCUUUUAUUUCUGGACUCUGAUUAUUUCUGGACUGUGAUUUCCUCAUGCAGGAUUUUGUACAUGCCAGUUCAAAGUUUAAAUUUAUGCCAUGUGUGAAUACGUGCAAAAUGCCCAAAUAAGAAUGGGGAAAAUAUCUUCUUUUUCCAGCUGUCUUGAGACACUUCAAAAACUAUGAAAUACAAUUUUUCUUCCAGUUUUCCAAAAUAUUUCUUUGGGUCGAUACCAAGAAUGAGGUAUUUUUGGCCAAAAUGCUUCUUAAAAUUUUUAUAAUUUUAUAAGAAGAAAUUUUCUUUUGAACUUCAAGCAUAUGUUAUUAUCAUGGUAUCUUAUUCAUGAACACAACCAUUUCAGUGCGUUUUUACACUAGUGGAAUAAUUUAGGUGUUCUGUAUUAUUAUGAGUCAGUUAUUUCUCUGAUGUUUGGCCAUUUCAUAUUUGUUGUUUUUCUGCUAUCUUAUCAGCCUAUGUUUGUGUAGGUAACAGAACUAACAAUUAAAAAUAGCCGUCAUUAUUUUGAGUAGGUUUUCAACUUGCGUUUAUGGUUUGCUGCAUAUAGUCUAACAUUACUAUAUUGCCAGAGACUUUCAUACAGGUCUUUAAAUAUUUAGUAAAACCAUUUUGAAAACUGAAAUUAUUUGAUGUUUUUAUCUUGAUUGCUCUGAACAAAGACUGUACUUCAAACUUCCCCUUGAUGCUUCAGGAUGAAAGUUGGGUUAAGCAAUAUUUGAAUUUAAAUGUGGUUUAAAACGUUUCUUAAUUCUGAAGUCCUUUGUAGUUUUUAUUUUCCAAGCAAUAUUAGCUGUAUUUGAUCUCUUAGAUGAAGAAAGAGUUGACUGUGAUUAAAUAUGUGCAGUGCCAUCCCGGAGUAAACUUUAUUCAUAGAUUAAUAAAAUCUGUCCGGCAUGAUUUAGAAAAAGAUAUUUUAGGCCAUUAAAUUUAGUUACAUAAGCUACAGUCUGUUUUAAAUUCUGUGCACUAAAAUCUGUUUUGCUUAAAAAAAAAAGGUCAUUACGCUGGGAAAUGUGGAGUAUUUGUUUUCCAAAACCAUCAAAAGCAUGCUUAGUCACUCAUUUAGGAAAAUUUGGAAGUACUAGUUUUAGCCUUUCAAUUUAAUGACAGUUACUAUCAUUGUCUAAUUUUCUUCUCUGUACUUAAAAGCCUUAAGAACAUGCUAAUAAUUGAUUUGACUACAUGGUUUUUUUGGUGCCUCUGUGGUUCAAAUGCUGUUCUUUUCUCAGACAGGAAGUAAACUAUAAAGUAAAGGAAUCUAGCACCCUACCCGGCGUAUAUUUGGUAAUCGGUAAAUUACUUUUUCCCCCCAACCCCCACCACACACAUAUUUUGUCCGUGGUUUUAAAUGUGUUAAGAUGUAAAAACAGUAUCAAGAAGAAUUUAAAAGCUCAGCUUCCAUUCAAAUCUUUAAACGUCUUCUAAAAGAAAAAUUCAAAAUUAAUACAUGAUGUUGUAGGCAGAAUUCUGUCGUGGCUCCCAGGAUUCUCACCCCCUGGAGUAUACACCCUGUAUAACCCUAUGUCCUUGAGUGUGAUCAGAGCUGUGAGUAGGAUGGAAUAGUCACUCUCUUGGUUGGGUUGCAUUAAAUGCCAAAGGUGAUGGUUGCAUCAUGCCUGUGAUUAUGUUAUAUGAUCUAAGAUCCUUUUGCCCACUAGAGAGGGAUUCCUGCUGGCUUUGAAGAAGUAAGCCGCUAUGUUGUGGAGGGCCACAUGGCUGGGGCCUAAGAAUGACUUUGGAGAGCAGAAAGCUAUCCCUACCAACAACCAGCAAGAAAUCGGGUACUUCAGUUCCAGACAGGAAGAGACUGAGAUAAUGAAUGAAUAAGCAUUUAUUCAUUUAUUCAUUAUUCAUUUAUUCAAGCCCCAGGUGAGACCACAUCCUGGCCAACACCUUGAUAUUAUUGAGUCUUCUGAGACCCUGAGCAGAAAACCAGUUAAAUCAGUCUCUGACCCCAGAGACUAUGAGCCACAGAAACAGAGAAAAUAAAUACAUUGUUACAUUGUUUUAAACUGCUAAAUUGGUGGUCAUUUGUUAAUACAGUAACAGAAAAUUAAUACAUUUGGGGAAAUCUCUCU